rnacentral:ncRNA from 1 species
UCCUGACUGCUUUAUAGCAGACUCACCCACGACAGGAGAAUGACAUG